rnacentral:rRNA from 1 species
UACGUAGGGGGCUAGCGUUGUCCGGAAUCAUUGGGCGUAAAGAGCGUGUAGGCGGCCCGGUAAGUCCGCUGUAAAAGUCAAAGGCUCAACCUUUGAAUGUCAGUGGAUACUGCCGGGCUAGAGUCCGGAAGAGGCGAGUGGAACUCCUGGUGUAGCGGUGGAAUGCGCAGAUAUCAGGAGGAACACCAAUAGCGAAGGCAGCUCGCUGGGACGGUACUGACGCUAAGGCGCGAAAGCGUGGGGAGCGAACAGG